rnacentral:lncRNA from 1 species
GCUUUUUCACUCUCUGCUGAUAUGACUGACCAUGACACAUGGCAGUUGAUCUCUUCUUUCUUUCAGUCGAAUUCAGCAUUAGUCAACUUGGGACUUUGAGGGUGCUAUCUUUCUUUUGUUUUUUCUUUCUUUUGAUUUUGCUUUUGAUUUUGCUUUUGAUUUCUUUUUUUGGUUUUGCACCCUCUCUUUCUUUGUUUUUUGUUUUUUUUUUUUUUUGAUUUUUUUUCUUUUUGAUUAAUGCCCCAGUUGGCUGUUCUGCUGAUUCUCGAGAUGCAGCUGAGUGAUCUUCUUCUCUUGCUCAAGAAGUCGGGAAAUCUCGUCAGGAGUCCCUUCAACAUCA